UCCAGGAUGGCCGAGUGGUUAAGGCGUUGGACUUAAGAUCCAAUGGAUGUAUAUCCGCGUGGGUUCAAACCCCCCUCCUGGUA
rnacentral:tRNA from 1 species